GGGGUGACACAGUGAAAGAGUGAGGAAGGGGGUGACACAGUGACAGAGUGAGGGAGGGGGUGACUAGUGACAGAGUGAAGGAGGUGGUGACUGUCACUAGUCACCCCAUCCCUCCCUUUGUCACUAGUCACCCCUUCCCUCCCUCACUCUGUCACUAGUCACCCCCUCCCUCUCUCUGCCACUAGUCACACCCUCUCUCACUCUGUCACUAAUCACACCC
rnacentral:sRNA from 1 species